AAUACAUGAGCAAAAUCUCAACUUUAUUAGAAGAGACGCAUUUAUUAGAUAAAAAGCCAGUUCAUGCUUUUACAGUAUGAAAAUUGGUGAUUUAUAAUAACUUAGCAAAUCGCAAAGUGAAAACAGGCGAUAAAUCAUUCAAGUUUCUGACCUAUCAGCUUUCGACGGUAUGGUAUUGGCUUACCGUGGCAGUGACGGUUAACGGGGGAUUAGGGUUCGAUUCCGGAGAGGGAGCCUGAGAAACGGCUACCACAUCUAAGGAAGGCAGCAGGCGCGCAAAUUACCCAAUUCUAACAGUUUGAGAGAGGUAGUAACAAGAAAUAACAAUACAAGGCAGUUAAAAUGCUUUGUAAUUGGAAUGAUAGAAAUUUAAACCCUUUUUAAAGUAUCAAUUGGAGGGCAAGUCUGGUGCCAGCAGCCGCGGUAAUUCCAGCUCCAAUAGCGUAUAUUAAAAUUGUUGCAGUUAAAAAGCUCGUAGUUGAAGUUCUGCUGAAAGUAACCGGUCUGCUUUUAAUAAAAGUGGUAUCUUGGUAUGUAUUUAGCAAUGAUGUCCUUUGAAGUGUUUUUUACUUUAUUGUAAUAAAGCAUAUUCAGGACUUUUACUUUGAGAAAAUUAGAGUGUUUCUAGCAGGCUAACGCUUUGAAUACUGCAGCAUGGAAAUAAUAAGA
rnacentral:rRNA from 1 species